AGUGAACGCUGGCGGUAGGCCUAACACAUGCAAGUCGAACGGCAGCACAGUAAGAGCUUGCUCUUACGGGUGGCGAGUGGCGGACGGGCGAGGAAUACAUCGGAAUCUACUUUUUCGUGGGGGCUAACGUAGGGAAACUUACGCUAAUACCGCAUACGACCUACGGGUGAAAGCAGGGGAUCUUCGGACCUUGCGCGAUUGAAUGAGCCGAUGUCGGAUUAGCUAGUUGGCGGGGUAAAGGCCCACCAAGGCGACGAUCCGUAGCUGGUCUGAGAGGAUGAUCAGCCACACUGGAACUGAGACACGGUCCAGACUCCUAAGGGAGGCAGCAGUGGGGAAUAGUGGACAAUGGGCGCAAGCCUGAUCCAGCCAUACCGCGUGGGUGAAGAAGGCCUUCGGGUUGUAAAGCCCUUUUGUUGGGAAAGAAAAGCAGCAGGUUAAUACCCCGCUGUUCUGACGGUACCCAAAGAAUAAGCACCGGCUAACUUCGUG
rnacentral:rRNA from 1 species